rnacentral:tRNA from 1 species
CGGUCCCGUAGUGUAGCGGUUAUCACGUCGCCCUGUCACGGCGAAGAUCGCGGGUUCGAUUCCCGUCGGGACCGU